UUGUACAUCAGUACAUGAAUGUUCAUCCAGAUAUUUUCUUCUCUCUCUUCAGAUAUUUUUUUCUCUCACUUCUUUUGUGCCCAUUUGUGUCUCUCACAGAAUCAAACCCGCUUUCUCCGCUGUUGAUUUCUUCAUUUGAAAUGGUGCUUCUCCUCGUUUAUGCCUCCACACUUUUCUGGGUCUCAGUCUUUGUUCAUUUUCUUCGUCCUCCAUCCCAUGGACUGGCUUUUCAUGGCCGUUCUUCAUAGCUCUAUGGUCUGAAUACAAGUGCAUUUACUGAUCUUGGUUGCCACAACCAGAAGCCAUCGCUCCCAAAUAAAGGUGAAGAGUGAUAUCCCAUGACUCCAUGUGGAUGCCAUGAUGUUUUGAAUCCUAGGUCUCCUCUCCUUUUCCCCUCUAAAGGUUCGAAAUAAGGAUACAUCAAUCGGCAGCUAGGCUUGCUCACUAGUAAGAGAUCCUACAGUGUUUGAUCCUGACUGGUUAAAUAAAUAUUCUGUAGGUCUUUGAUGCCUAAACCAGAAAGCUCUUCUCCCAGCAAUUGCCUGCAUUUAUGACAGUCUAAAUGUGGCUUGCUCCAAUCAAGAAUAGGUUAUGGCACAUUUGAUGUGGGCGUGAAUGCACUUGCAAGAAUGCAACUUGUCCAUAUGUGUUUUCUACGUAUAGAUAUGACAAAGAUACUGAAGUCUGUCUGCAUUGACAGCUGCAUUCAAGACUCUAUGCUCUCCCCUUUUUUCCUUUUUCCCAUUUUAUGGCCAAAAGAUGUGGAAAGUAUGGUGGACUAGUGGCUUCUGUUAGUGAUUCUUAUCGUUGUGGUGAAACAAAAGAACUAAAACAGUCCUACAAGAGCCCUUAAUAGAUGGCAAAGGAAAUUCUUCAUGGAUAACUUACAUAUGAAAGUUUGAACAAAUUGAAAGGUUCCAAUAAACAAUCAAUGGCAAGACCUAAAUAUAUAGCAUCCUUUAUGUGAAAGUCUCAUCUUGGUCCCUAUGCUCUCUUAACCUUUUAUCUUUAGUCGAAGUUAAUUGAUUAUGUACUCCAUACUCAAGGGCUACUUUGCACCUUCAUCCAAGUUUGAUUUUGAACCAAGUUUCAUAACAAAGGUCAUUUUAGACAUAACACUUGAUAAGUUUCUAGCUACUGAUUUACUCCAUAAAUUCAAGAACUCGAGUCUAGGACAUCUUGGGUUCCACUUGGAAGUAAUGUGGCUGCUGUAUUGGCAUUGCAUCAUACUCUUAGAGUGGAAGAAAACCUUUUUAUGAAUUUGUGUCAAACCCUUGUAAUAUUCUGAUAAAUCUUAAAUGUUAAAGGUAGAAUCAUCUGGAGGUGAAUAGGCUAAUUCAGUAAUAUUCUUGAUAGCUAUUUGAAGUGUUAGUAGUCACAAAGGAGUUUGUAUCUAAAAUUGAGUGGAAGAGGCCCACCUCAUGUAGGAGAUAACUUCUAUUCCUUGACAUCUUAUGUGCUGGCAUUCACAUAAUAUGGGUAUCCAAUACUGACAAAGGUCUACCUAAGGAGUUGGUAACCAUGCUGAGUGUUUAGAGGUAAAGUGAAGAGACUUACAGAUAAUGUGCUUGUGGAGGUGCAAGAUAUGAGGUAUCAUAUGAAUGGAGGGUCAUUUGAUUUACAUGGCAUUGGAUCAAUGACUAUGUGGCAACAGGUUAUAGGCUGUUAAUAAGUAACCUAAUGUGUUGCAUUGGAGCAUGUGGAACUAGUGAACAAGUCCACAUAGGGAGUGUGAAAUUGGACAAUAACAGAGAAUGCGAAUUAAAGUUGUGUGGAAAAAAAAAAAGAUUGUGAUUGGGUGGAUGAUAUGGCCUUAGAGCAGAAUGGAAUAUGAAAAGAGUAUUGUGUCAAACGAUUGGAAUAAGUUGUGUUAAGUCAUGUAUGUGAGUUUAGUUGAAUAUGCUUUAGGCUUUUAGUGAUUAAAAUAUGUUUCUAUUCAACAUGUUAAGGACUUUUACUAAGCAUAAACAUGGAGAGUCACUGUUUUCUUGAUCAUGCAUCCCUUCAUUUUACAACUGUUGGGCCAAUCUAAGUAAUGUUUUAUAUCCAUUAUAAAUAGAAACACAAUUUUACCUGUGGGUGUCUUGCAAGUAUUGUAGUUGCUGCCUCAAGCUUGCUGCCUCCCUUUGCCAGAGCUAAUGUACAAAAAUCAAAUUUAAAUUUAUCCAAUAUAAUGUAGGAUACAUGGGACCAAUAUAUUCAAUUGAAGGAAUAGCUCUUAAUAACUGAUAUUUUCUAGUAAUGGCUUAUGGAUAAAACAUUAAGUCCAAAAUCGGGAAAGAAAAAUUCAUGAUUUUUGGAAAUUUGGUGGUCAGUGAUAGGAAAGGAAAUACAGAAUCUUAUAAACUUGAAGUAAGUUUCAUUCAACUAAAAAUCAUUUUUAUCUUUUCUCAUUAUGAUGUUUUUACUAAAGAAUUGUAAACUGCUUUUCAUGAAAAUUUCUAUUCAUGCACUGCAAUUUUGUUAUCAGAUUCGCCAAUUAGCAAGUAGCUCUAGGAACAAAUGAUUGUAUUCAUUUUCAUGGUUGCAAACCCAUAUAUAAUCCGUGUAAGUUUCUUAGCUAAGCUUGUGAGUUCUGAAUUAAUGCAACAAUCAUUUCAGAAGGAUAAAUCUGAAACCUUUGUUUGACACACUGGAUUGUCA